UACGGAGGGGGCUAGCGUUGUUCGGAAUUACUGGGCGUAAAGCGCACGUAGGCGGACCAGAAAGUCGGGGGGUGAAAUCCCGGGGCUCAACCCCGGAACUGCCUUCGAAACUAUUGGUCUGGAGUUCGAGAGAGGUGAGUGGAAUUCCGAGUGUAGAGGUGAAAUUCGUAGAUAUUCGGAGGAACACCAGUGGCGAAGGCGGCUCACUGGCUCGAUACUGACGCUGAGGUGCGAAAGCGUUGGGGAGCAAACAGGAUUAGAUACCCGGGUAGUCC
rnacentral:rRNA from 1 species